UCCUACGGGCGGCUGCAGUGGGGAAUAUUGGACAAUGGGCGCAAGCCUGAUCCAGCCACGCCGCGUGAGUGAUGAAGGCCUUCGGGUUGUAAAGCUCUGUGGGGAGGGACGAAAACGGCGCAUAAGAAACGAUGCGUCCUUGACGGUACCUCCUUAGCAAGCACCGGCUAACUCUGUGCCAGCAGCCGCGGUAAUACAGAGGGUGCGAACGUUGCUCGGAAUUACUGGGCGUAAAGCGCGUGUAGGCGGAUCCGUGAGUCGGGCGUGAAAUCCCCAGGCUCAACCUGGGAACUGCGCUCGAAACUGCGGGUCUUGAGUGUCGGAGAGGAUGGCGGAAUUCCUGGUGUAGAGGUGAAAUUCGUAGAUAUCAGGAGGAACACCGGUGGCGAAGGCGGCCAUCUGGACGACAACUGACGCUGAGACGCGAAAGCGUGGGGAGCAAACAGGAUUAGAUACCCGUGUAGUC
rnacentral:rRNA from 1 species